UACAGUCAUAUCAUGUUGAAACACCAUUUCUCAUCUGAUCACCAAAAUUAAGCAAUGUUGAUCCUGGCCAGUACCUAGAUGGGUGACUGCUUGAAAAUACCAGGUACUGUAAG